UACGAAGGGGGCUAGCGUUGCUCGGAAUCACUGGGCGUAAAGGGCGCGUAGGCGGCGUUUUAAGUCGGGGGUGAAAGCCUGUGGCUCAACCACAGAAUGGCCUUCGAUACUGGGACGCUUGAGUAUGGUAGAGGUUGGUGGAACUGCGAGUGUAGAGGUGAAAUUCGUAGAUAUUCGCAAGAACACCGGUGGCGAAGGCGGCCAACUGGACCAUUACUGACGCUGAGGCUCGAAAGCGUGGGGAGCGAACAGG
rnacentral:rRNA from 1 species